rnacentral:misc_RNA from 1 species
ACAUCUCAAGGCCUGUCUGCUUUUGAUAGGUAUUGGAUUUUGGGAGUUGCAGGCUGUUUCAGAUAUAGCUUGCUCUCCUUGAAUGUAUUAGUGGAGAAAGAAAAGCUGUUGAACUCCAAUUGGUGUGAUAAAAUCUGUCAAUGCCAGGAGCAACGUCGAGUUGUCUCUGCUGUCUAACCCUAACUUCUGACCC